GAAACCUGGUUGAUCCUGCCAGUAGUCAUAUGCUUGUCUCAAAGAUUAAGCCAUGCAUGUCUAAGUAUAAAUGACUUUAUACAGUAAAACUGCGAAUGGCUCAUUAAAUCAGUUAUCAUUUAUUUGAUAAUAACUUACUACUUGGAUAACCGUAGCAAUUCUAGAGCUAAUACAUGCUAAAAGGCGCGACUUUU
rnacentral:rRNA from 1 species